AUUUGUUACAGAAGCCUGAGCAGACGAAGACGCUACAGCUUGUACAAUCUCCUUCUCGGAACCUCGUUUGGAAGAUGUGUUCCCAGCCUCUUCACAGCUCAGUCAUCUUUGUAGAGAAGUAAGGUGUUUGCUCCUCCCACUGCUUCUCCCCUCUCAGCAUCUCUUACAACGGAGGAUGCCAAGCCCAACACCUGGUGUGAGAAGCAGCAGCAGUCGGCGCUUAUCUGCAUCCUGGACUCACGAAGUUACCUGGAGUGGCUGAGUUCAAUAACCUUGGUGAGUUUAUAUUAUUUUAUUUUUCUCAAAAAAUGUCCCAGGCUUCAGAUGUAGGCAGGGUAAUGUGAGUGCUAAAAAGUUAACUAAACGAAAUAAGAGGCAGUUAAGUUAUGUUUGUCAGAGAGAACACUGAAAGAUAGUCUUUUUUAGUCCCACGACUGGC
rnacentral:lncRNA from 1 species